rnacentral:rRNA from 1 species
AGUGAACGCUGGCGGUAGGCCUAACACAUGCGAGUCGAACGGCAGCACAGUAAGAGCUUGCUCUUACGGGUGGCGAGUGGCGGACGAGUGAGGAAUACAUCGGAAUCUACUUUUUCGUGGGGGAUAACGUAGGGAAACUUACGCUAAUACCGCAUACGACCUACGGGUGAUAGCAGGGGAUCUUCGGACCUUGCGCGAUUGAAUGAGCCGAUGUCGGAUUAGCUAGUUGGCGGGGUAAAGGCCCACCAAGGCGACGAUCCGUAGCUGGUCUGAGAGGAUGAUCAGCCACACUGGAACUGAGACACGGUCCAGACUCCUACGGGAGGCAGCAGUGGGGAAUAUUGGACAAUGGGCGCAAGCCUGAUCCAGCCAUACCGCGUGGGUGAAGAAGGCCUUCGGGUUGUAAAGCCCUUUUGUUGGGAAAGAAAAGCAGCAGGUUAAUACCCCGCUGUUCUGACGGUACCCAAAGAAUAAGCACCGGCUAACUUCGUG